rnacentral:RNase_P_RNA from 1 species
UCCGGUCCCCGGGUGACCGCCGGCAGGCAAACAACGCCUGCGGGAGGAAAGUCCGGGCUCCACAGGGCAGGGUGGUGGGUAACGCCCACCGAUCGAGAGACCAGGGAAAGUGCCACAGAAAUAACACCGCCGGCCGGCCAGAUCAUCUGGCGACGGUAAGGGUGAAAUGGUGAGGUAAGAGCUCACCGCAGAGCGGGAAACCGCGCUGGCAAGGCAAACCCCACCCGGAGAAAGACUGAAUAGGAGAGUCGCGCUGCCCGCGCCCAGGCUCUCGGGUAGGUCGUUGGAGGGUGUCUGCGAGGACACCCCUAGAGAAAUGGUCACCGCUGCCAUGUUGCAGCACCAGAACCCGGCUUACGGGGAUCGGACUUC